GCACGACGGCUUUAGCAUCUCCCUCGCCCGAAGAAAACCUAGAUCAGGCUCCUUUGGUGCUCACGGUCUCCGCUCCGUUCGAAUUGGUAGAAAGAGAAGAGAAGACGACGAAGAAGAAGAUGCAGCAGCUCUCCACGCGACCGGUACGCUAGUUUAAAUGGUCCUGUGGAUGUUAGGAUUCCUAAUAGCACGAUGACUUCAGUAAUUGAUGCUGAUGGUGGCGAUAUCCAUGAUAUUCAUCAGGUACAGUGAAGACAUUGUGUCUUUUUCAAAUUCUUUCUUGAUGAAAAAACAUAGAAUAACAUAAAAUGGCAAUAUUUCCUUAAUGUAGUCAACGAGCAUUUGUUACCUAUUUAUUGACUGUGUGAAUAUUUUCUUUUUCAUUAUAAUCAGGUCAUUCAAACAUCAAUGAAAUUGUCAAUCCAUGACAAAUAACUUCAGUGUCAGGAUUCUUAUAUAUGAUUGCAAUAAGAUUCAAAUGACAGGAUUUGACUGUGUGAAUUGCAAUAGAUUCACCGCUGUCUCAAGCACUCUAUCCUUAGUCCUACUUCGAAUCGGUGGUUUUAGUGUUCCUUGAUGGUUAAAUGCUAUGUGGACAUUGUUGCUGGCUUUGUCGGUACAAUUAUGCUUUGUUUAAUGAUUAAAAUACAUGAGUUGCUAAUUUAUAGCUGUUAUUGUACAAUGGUCUGUUUACAGGAUCAUUUGCUGUCUAUUUCAGAAUUGUUGAACUAAUUGAUAUACGGUUCCCAGCUAUUCACGGAUGGUGCCUUUGUAAGCUGUGAAGCCUGUACAUUUCAGUAUUUAGAGUUCAUGCGACAGUGAUGUUAAUAUACAGUAACCCACAUGCAUACGAGUUCCAGCUUUCAACCCAAAGAUCAGAAAACUAGAACGUAAUCAGGAAUGUUUCUACCUGAACCGGGAUUUUGCUGUAGCAAAGCACACAUAUUACAUGCCUGACUCCGCGUGGUAAAGGACCAAUUUGUCGAGACAGUUAUCGUGCAUUGCUCUUGGAUUGCUGCUGUUGGAUCCAGUGAUUAACACAAAGGAUAGUUGGUGCCUUUCACAAUGAUUAAUGUGUAAUUAUAGUCGACAGAGGUUACUUUGAUUAAAGAUGCACAUGAAAUCUGAAGUUGUACAGCAUUUGCUCCACCACCAAAGAAAGAAACUUUUUUUGAAGUCUGGUAGAAGCUCUAUAGUUCCACCAACAUUAUGCAAGGUUGAGAUUGAAUUAUUUUCA